rnacentral:misc_RNA from 1 species
CAUCACCACGAAGAGGGUCGAGCCGGAGUCCGCAGACAGGAAAAAGAAAAAGCAUCCAACACCACCAAAGCCAGGCCGUUUGUGGACGCUAGAGAAUGAGCGAACAAAACACAGGUGCGCGUGGGGUGUCCUUGCGUGAGCCGCUGUGCGCGCGCUUGCCGCAGCAGAUGGGACGGUCGCCACUGUCCUCGAUGAGGGAAGCGGUAAGAGCGGAAGGGGGCUGGGGCAGGGGUGGUAGGGGCUAGCGCGAGAGUAGCCUUUUUCCUGUGCGUCUGUAUCCCCGCCCUCCGCCUUUCUCGGGUCCUUCUCUUCCUACUCCGUGGCGCAAGGCAGCCGUGCGCCAUGGCCCCCGUCUUCAGUAUUGCACCUGACGCGAAGAAGAAAAUGCAUAGGCAACCACCAAACAGUGGGUGCGCCCGCCUCUGUGCACGGUGUCGAGUGGCGCACAGCUUCCAUCGUGUUUAGUGUUGCUUAUCUGCCUCCUUUCUCUAAUUCUCUUUCCUUCCACAUCCGCGUUUGUGCAACACUGCAUUGCGCUUGCGUGAUCGCGCCUGCCACGCAAUCCCCUUCCCCUAACAAAACACACACGCACACACAAACCACCGCCGCCCGCUCUCCUGUGAUCACUGUGCCCGACGCCCUCCCUUUCCACUGUGCAG